AAUUACCAAUUCACUGACAAAGAGAAAUGAUAAUGGGAGAAUGGACUAAAAUCCUAUUUGGUAAUAAUUUUUAAGGUAACAUUUAGUGUUUUGAUCAUAAUUAAAAUAUUAUCUAUCUUAUUUAUAUUGUUCAAUGACAUAUUAUUUAUAGUAAUAUUUAAAAGUUAAAGGAAUGGUUCAUGAAAAACUAUCCCUCCUAACUUGGAG
rnacentral:misc_RNA from 1 species